rnacentral:rRNA from 1 species
AACGAACGCUGGCGGCAUGCCUAACACAUGCAAGUCGAACGAGACCUUCGGGUCUAGUGGCGCACGGGUGCGUAACGCGUGGGAACCUGCCUUUAGGUUCGGAAUAACUCAGAGAAAUUUGAGCUAAUACCGGAUGAUCUCUUCGGACCAAAGAUUUAUCGCCUUUAGAUGGGCCCGCGUUGGAUUAGCUAGUUGGUGGGGUAAAGGCCUACCACGGCGACGAUCCAUAGCUGGUCUGAGAGGAUGAUCAGCCACACUGGGACUGAGACACGGCCCAGACUCCUACGGGAGGCAGCAGUGGGGAAUAUUGGAAAAUGGGCGAAAGCCUGAUCCAGCAAUGCCGCGUGAGUGAUGAAGGCCUUAGGGUUGUAAAGCUCUUUUACCCGAGAUGAUAAUGACAGUAUCGGGAGAAUAAGCUCCGGCUAACUCCGUG